GUUGCUGGGCCUCUGUCCCUUCUCCAUUGGUGCCAGCUCUGAAGCAAUCUUUUCUGGGGCGCCUGCAAAGGACGGAUCUGUGGGUGGAACGAACUGAAAACGGAUUCAGUGACUCAUCCCGACUCUCGCACAUUCUAGCACAUCGCAUUCUAGAGACCGGAACGGGCGAGCAAAAGUAGUCCCUUCUCGGCGGUUCUGCGGAGGAAUUUCCUUGGGGCGGUGAACGCCGAUGACUAUAUAAGGACGCGCCGGGUGUGGCGCAGCUAGUUCCGUCGCAGCCGGGAGUGGGAUCGCAGUUCUUGUUCGUGUGUCGGUGUUAUCGCCACUUGACAAUGCAGAUCUUCGUGAAGACCCUGACUGGCAAGACCAUCACCCUCGAGGUCGAGCCCAGCGACACCAUCGAGAAUGUCAAGGCAAAGAUCCAAGAUAAGGAAGGCAUUCCUCCCGACCAGCAGAGGCUGAUCUUUGCCGGAAAGCAGCUGGAAGAUGGGCGCACCCUGUCUGACUACAACAUCCAGAAAGAGUCCACCCUGCACCUCGU